AACGAACGCUGGCGGCAUGCCUAAUACAUGCCAGUCGAACGAGAUCUUCGGAUCUAGUGGCGCACGGGUGCGUAACGCGUGGGAAUCUGCCCUUGGGUUCGGAAUAACUUCUGGAAACGGAAGCUAAUACCGGAUGAUGACGUAAGUCCAAAGAUUUAUCGCCCAAGGAUGAGCCCGCGUAGGAUUAGCUAGUUGGUGGGGUAAAGGCCCACCAAGGCGACGAUCCUUAGCUGGUCUGAGAGGAUGAUCAGCCACACUGGGACUGAGACACGGCCCAGACUCCUACGGGAGGCAGCAGUAGGGAAUAUUGGACAAUGGGCGAAAGCCUGAUCCAGCAAUGCCGCGUGAGUGAUGAAGGCCUUAGGGUUGUAAAGCUCUUUUACCCGGGAUGAUAAUGACAGUACCGGGAGAAUAAGCUCCGGCUAACUCCGUG
rnacentral:rRNA from 1 species